rnacentral:rRNA from 1 species
UACGUAGGGUGCGAGCGUUGUCCGGAAUUAUUGGGCGUAAAGAGCUUGUAGGCGGUUUGUCGCGUCUGCUGUGAAAAUCCGGGGCUCAACCCCGGACUUGCAGUGGGUACGGGCAGACUGGAGUGUGGUAGGGGAGACUGAAUUCCUGGUGUAGCGGUGGAAUGCGCAGAUAUCAGGAGGAACACCGAUGGCGAAGGCAGGUCUCUGGGCCACUACUGACGCUGAGAAGCGAAAGCAUGGGGAGCGAACAGG